AUUGAACGCUGGCGGCAGGCCUAACACAUGCAAGUCGAGCGGAUGAUUGGAGCUUGCUCCAUGAUUCAGCGGCGGACGGGUGAGUAAUGCCUAGGAAUCUGCCUGGUAGUGGGGGACAACGUUUCGAAAGGAACGCUAAUACCGCAUACGUCCUACGGGAGAAAGCAGGGGACCUUCGGGCCUUGCGCUAUCAGAUGAGCCUAGGUCGGAUUAGCUAGUAGGUGGGGUAAUGGCCCACCUAGGCGACGAUCCGUAACUGGUCUGAGAGGAUGAUCAGUCACACUGGAACUGAGACACGGUCCAGACUCCUACGGGAGGCAGCAGUGGGGAAUAUUGGACAAUGGGCGAAAGCCUGAUCCAGCCAUGCCGCGUGUGUGAAGAAGGUCUUCGGAUUGUAAAGCACUUUAAGUUGGGAGGAAGGGCAGUAAGUUAAUACCUUGCUGUUUUGACGUUACCAACAGAAUAAGCACCGGCUAACUUCGUGCCAGCCGCCGCAGUAA
rnacentral:rRNA from 1 species